GAAAUAUUGAAAUAUUAAAAUUUCUAAUUUUAUUUGAAGUUAUUUAAACUUAUAUUUCU
rnacentral:tRNA from 1 species